rnacentral:sRNA from 1 species
ACUCAACGUUAUAACUUUUGAAAAGGGUGAGUUUAAGUUGUAAAAGCGCGCCGUUCCCUAGGGAUUACGGAUUCUUGAGCAACUUGUUAGCCCUAAACUUGUUUUUAGGAGUUU